UCGAAACUUGCAAAAGACCCGUGAACUAGUUAUCAACAUGUGGGGAGUGUUGGGAGAUAUCCCUUAGCUCCUUCGUGCCAGUGGUGGGUAAUUGUGUUGUUAUACCGGCAUGAUUGACCAACAUCUGGACAAACUAACCAACCCCGGCGCGGCAUGCGCCAAGGAACUUCGCAAUAAAUGUGGAAACGCUACCGGUCGUUCCGAAAAUCGGAUAAAGCGGCCGUGUUGUGGACCACCAUUUCAUUACAAAACGACUCUCGGCAACGGAUAUCUAGGCUCUUGCAUCGAUGAAGAACGUAGCGAAAUGCGAUACUUGGUGUGAAUUGCAGAAUCCCGUGAACCAUCGAGUCUUUGAACGCAAGUUGCGCCCGAAGCCUCUUGGCCAAGGGCACGUCUGCCUGGGUGUCACACAUCGUCCCCACCGAAACAAAUACUCCUUGUAGGUGUUUGGUAAGAGGAUGGGCGGAUAAUGGUCUCCCGUGCGCGGUUGCUCGCGGUUGGCCUAAAAAUAAGUUCCUGGUGAUAGCAAGCCAUGACCAGCGGUGGUUGAAAGACCCUCGAUGGGUGUCGUGAGAACUUGCAUCGCAUGUUGGGAGAUUCUGACCUUGAUCGUGUUUAAGCAUAUCAAACACUCAUGAA
rnacentral:misc_RNA from 1 species